rnacentral:rRNA from 1 species
AACGAACGCUGGCGGCAGGCCUAACACAUGCAAGUCGAGCGAGGUAGCAAUACCUAGCGGCGGACGGGUGAGUAACGCGUGGGAACGUGCCCUUUGGUACGGAAUAGCCCCGGGAAACUGGGAGUAAUACCGUAUAAGCUCUUCGGAGGAAAGAUUUAUCGCCAAAGGAUCGGCCCGCGUUGGAUUAGGUAGUUGGUGAGGUAACGGCUCACCAAGGCGACGACGGGUAGCCGGCCUGAGAGGGUGACCGGCCACACUGGGACUGAGACACGGCCCAGACUCCUACGGGAGGCAGCAGUGGGGAAUAUUGCACAAUGGGCGCAAGCCUGAUGCAGCAACGCCGCGUGAGGGAUGACGGCCUUCGGGUUGUAAACCUCUUUUAGUAGGGAAGAAGCGAAAGUGACGGUACCUGCAGAAAAGCACCGGCUAACUACGUG